UUUCUGUUUGUGUCUUCUAGGAGCUACCUUUACCGAAAGUCCAUCAAGUGGUCUGAGCACAUCAGUAGCUGUUUUCUGCCAUGAGCUGCCUCAUGAGUUAGGGGACUUUGCUGUGUUGCUGACUGCUGGGAUGACAUUUAAGCAAGCCAUUCUUUACAACCUCCUUUCUUCAGCCUUGGCCUAUUUUGGUAUGGUGACUGGAAUCAUUAUUGGUCACUACGGUGAAGAUGUUUCCGUGUGGAUAUUUGCUAUUACAGCUGGCUUAUUCAUGUACAUAGCUCUAGUUCAUAUGCUUCCGGAAAUGAUGAC